rnacentral:rRNA from 1 species
AUUGAACGCUGGCGGCAUGCCUUACACAUGCAAGUCGAACGGUAACAGGUCUUCGGAUGCUGACGAGUGGCGAACGGGUGAGUAAUACAUCGGAACGUGCCUAGUAGUGGGGGAUAACUACUCGAAAGAGUGGCUAAUACCGCAUGAGAUCUACGGAUGAAAGCAGGGGAUCGCAAGACCUUGUGCUACUAGAGCGGCCGAUGGCAGAUUAGGUAGUUGGUGGGAUAAAAGCUUACCAAGCCGACGAUCUGUAGCUGGUCUGAGAGGACGAUCAGCCACACUGGGACGGAGACACUGCCCAGACUCCUACGGGAGGCAGCAGUGGGGAAUUUUGGACAAUGGGCGAAAGCCUGAUCCAGCAAUGCCGCGUGCAGGAUGAAGGCCUUCGGGUUGUAAACUGCUUUUGUACGGAACGAAAAGCCCCGGGUUAAUACCCUGGGGUCAUGACGGUACCGUAAGAAUAAGCACCUGCUAACUACGUGCCAGCCGCCGCGGUAA